AAGGCUUCGAGGCUGCUCCCAUACGCACUGGUGGAAGGAGAGGCCGCGCUCCCGGCUGAGCACGGUGUCACGGGUGCUGCAGCCCACUGCGGAGCAACUUCGGGUCAUCUUCUUGUUACGUGGGGCCCCACCUUCGGGGUUCCCGCGACAGCAUGAAUCACGACCACUUUAGCUCCGCCCGUUGACUCUGCGGCUACGACCUUUAUUUGUCACGAAAGGCGGGCUUUAGAGGCGCGGGACUUCCACACUUCCUCUCCGAAGGCCCUGCGCCGGUGCCGUAGCCAAUGACAGGCCACGUUGUGUCCCAGCAGCCAAUCGGAAGGGCCUGAGCCUGAAGACGUGCAUUUGACCGCUCCUCCCUCCGCGUUGGAGGCGGAAUAGUGGGUUUUGCUGCAACCGGUUUAUUUUCCUUCUGUUUUCACCCAUUCGGGCACAAUCUGGCGCCAUCGUCCUUCUUGUGAGGCCAAGCCUGAAAAUGCGAAGCAGAGAGGCAGGACCAAAAUUGAGGCGAAUCCGGGAACCUGCCAAUGGGUCUCCGGGUGCGGUCUCUGAAACUGGAGGAUAUCGGGAGGAAAGGCUCUCCGAUGCGGAGAUAAUGGGGAAGCUCUUGGCAUGGUUGGCUGUAGGUAUGUGAUACCGGAGGAGCAGGAGUCAAAUAGGAUACGCCGACUUUUAAUUCAAGGAACCCUUUUCUGAAACACUUUGCCACAAUGAAGGAAAUAAGGAUCUAGUUUGAAGCACUAAGAAGAAUAAGACAUCAGUUUGAAAAGAGGCUCUAUCAGAAUAACACGAAUUCUGCUAAAAUUGAAGCAAGAACAAACAUCAAAUAUAUGUUGACACUUGGGUGGAAGAAUGGUGAACUAAUUGAUGCUUUAUGAAAAGUCGAUAGGGACAAUGCUCCAAAGAAAUCAGUUUACAAAUGGAUAACUCGUUUUAAGAAGGCAUAAGGUAAUGUUGAAGAAGAAGCCCACAGUGGCAGAUCAUCCACAUCAGUUUGUGAGAAAAAAGUUAGUUCAUGGCGUAAUUGAAGAAAACCAACAAUUAACAGCAGAAACAACAGCCAACACCAUAGACAUCUCAGUUGGUUCACCUUACACAAUUUUGACUGGAAAAGUUCAGCAAACUUUAUACCUGAUAGGUACCAAAACCAUUGCACCCAGAUCAGCUACAGACAAGAAUAGAGCUUUCAAUGGAAAUUUUAAAUAAGUGGGAUCAGGAUCUUGAAGCCUUUCAUUGAAAAAUUGUAACAGGAGAUGAAACAUGGCUUUACCAGCGCAAUCCUGAAGACAAAACACAAAGCAGUGGUUACCAAGAUAAGUAGUUCAGUUAAAGCACAAGAGGACUGGUUGAGAGCAAAGGUCAUGACAACAGCUUUUGAAUGCUCAAGGCAUUUUGCUUGUUGACUUUCUGUAGGGCCAAAGAAUGGUAACGUGCUUAUCAUGGGAGUGUUUUGAGAAACUUAGUCAAAGCUUCAGCAGAAAAAUCCCCGAGAAAGACCAGAGAGUUCUUCACCACAACAAUGUUCCUGCUAAUCCCUCUCAUCAAACAAGGGCAUUUUGCAAGAGUUUUGAUGGGAAAUCACUAGGCAUCCACCCUACAGUCCUGGUUUGGCACCUUCUGACUUUUUGUUUCCUAAUCUUAAAAAAAUUUUUAAGGGCAGUACAUUUUUCUCAAGUUAAUGUAUAAAGAAACUGCAUUGAUGUAGAUAAAUUCCCAGAACUCUCAGUUCUUUAGGGAUGGACUAAAUAGCUGGUAUCAUCACUUACAAAAGUGUCUUGAAUGCUAUAGAGCUAAUGUUCAGAAAUAUAGUUUAUAUUUUUUAUCUUUUAACCAUUUUUCCACAAACUUUUUGAAGUCUCCUUGAAUAUGUACCAUUUAUAAAGGGGAAAAAUUCUGUGACUACUCAUGUUGACUUAAUGCUGACUUAAUUUUCUGUUUUGUAAAUAUAUACAAACAAGUUGAUACAAAUUUUGUUUAUAGCCCUUAAACAAAUUUGUGAAAUAAAUGCAUUCAGAAACAAACUAAAACAAUGAAAUGGAUGCUACUGUUUU
rnacentral:lncRNA from 1 species